CAUUGGUGUGUCGUACUAGAGAGAGAAAAAGAGAGAGAGUUAUUUUAGUGCACCUUGUGCACGGGUGCACGCUGAGAGGUCUUCUUUGUGGGUUCAUAGAAGACGAGAGAAAGGUAGGAAAGAUUCAAAAAGAGGGAUAGGGUUGUAGCUACUCUGUUGCAGAAGAGGAGUCAGGUGUAAUCUUCUCUUAUUUAAUGAAUCUUAUUUUACCCGCAUAUUUUCUGUUUUGGUUUUUUCUCUCUUUUAUGAUUGUAUCAACUUUUGCUGAGGAGACGGAUUUAUGGUAAAAACGCGAUUCAACGCUUCCGUUGCGAAAUCCCAACAAUCGAUACUGGACCCACAGCAGUCGGUAUCGGAGCGGGUUGCGGAUUCACGAGAUCCGGUACCGGGGUGAGUACCAGAUUCCUAACAAGUGGUAUCAGAGCCGAAGGUUACCGAUCUGCUGGAGAGAUCGACGGAGAUGGCCACGAAAUUCGAAAUCGAGAAGUUCGACGGCAAGACAAUUUCGGAUUAUAGCAAAUUAAAGUGCGAGCAAUCCUCGUACAGCAAGAGUUAGACGAGACGUUGAACGGGAAGGAGGCAAAGCCGGCGGAGGUCACGGAUGCAGCAUGGACGAAGAUGGAGCGGAAGGUGCUGAGUACGCUUCAUCUAUCAUUAGCAGAUGAGGUUCUUUACAAUGUAGCCGGCGAGACGACACCGGUGAAAUUGUGGAAGAAAUUGGAAGAUCUGUACAUGACCAAAUCCCUGACGAACAAAUUGUAUCUAAAGCAGCGACUGUUUACGUUGCGGAUGCAAGAAGCGGCGAACCUACAUGAUCAUCUAAAUGAGUCAACAAGGUGGUGGCCCAGUUGACCAGCAUCGGAGUCAAUCUGGAUGACGAAGACAAGGCAUUGAUCCUACUAUCUUCGCUACCGACGACAUAUGAGUAUCUGGUGACCACGUUGCUUUAUGGCAAGGAGUCCAUAAGCGUGGAUGCGGUCACGGCGGCGCUUCUCUCGAACGAGAUGCGGAAGAUGACUCAGGAGUCCGGCACGCAAAGUUAGGAUGUAGGACUGGUGGUGACUGCGAAGAAGGACGUGAGAAUAUCGGCGACCGGAUAUCGACAGAAGAAAUCGCUAUCUGAGGUAGAAUGCUUUUACUGUCACAGGAAGGGGCAUAUCAAGCGCAAUUGUCGAAAACUUCAGGAUGAUCUGAAAGAGUUAAAGCGACAGAAGGAGCAAACUGUCGUGAACCAGGACGAGACGGUAUCAGCGACGGCACAGAUAGCAGAGUCGGAGAUGAUCGAUUCUGAUGUGCUGUAUGCGGCGAUCGGAGGUGCGAAAAUUUCGGACGAUGCGUGGGUGCUCGAUUCGGCGUGUUCUUUUCACGUAUGCCCGGAGAAGGAGUCUUUUGCCACCUAUAAGCCGAUAAAAGGUGGAAAGGCGCUGAUCGGGAACGGGACAGCGUGCAAAGUAUUGGGAGUCGGCAUGGUGAAAAUUCGAAUGCACGAUGGGGUCGUGAGGACGCUGACAGGUGUGCGGCACGUUCCUGGAUUGAAGCGGAAUUUGAUCUCGUUAGGCGCAUUGGACUCGAAAGGUCGCGAUAUUUCGGCUUCAGGUGGAGCUAUGAGGGUCCGAAAACGAGAUCGGGUCGUGUGCGAGGCGAACAAGCGUGGGAACUUAUACGUUCUGAACGGGAGCAUAGUCUGAACGGAAGCAAAGACGGUUUGGGUUCCAAAAGUUCGUGGAGGUGCAGUCGCUCUAGGCGAAGCGACGGAUGCGGCGACAUCGAGCGGAGGAGACAAGCUCAAGGUGGAGCUUGCAUGGUGAGCUCGACGUAGCGGUUGAAGACUACAAAUCCAACCAAGAUGGAGAUUGUUAGGAUUUAGUUAGAUUUGUAGUUGAAUCCUAGUUAGAUAAAAAUUAAUAUUUAAAUCUGUUGGAGAUAAAUUAAGAUUUAAAUAUUAAUUAGAGGAUAAACCUAACCAGAUUAGGAUUAAUAUUUAAAUCUACUAGAAAUUAAUUAAGAUAGAUUUAUAUAUUAAUUGGAGUAGAAAUCCUAAAUAUACUAGAAUUGGGUACAUUCUAGUUGGAGCAUUAUAUAUAAUGCAUUAGAGUCUUUUUUUUGGAGGAGUACGGCUGGAACCAUUGGGGUAUCGUAUCAGAGAGAGAAAGAGAGAGAGAGUUAUUUUAGUGCACCUUGUGCACGGGUGCACGCUGAGAGGUCUUCUUUGUGGGUUCAUAGAAGACGAGAGAAGGGUAGGAAAGAUUCAAAAAGAGGGCUAGGGUUGUAGCUACUCUGUUGCAGAAGAGGAGUCAGGUGUAAUUUUCUCUUAUUUAAUGAAUCUUAUUACCCGCAUAUUUUCUAUUUUGGUUUUUUUCUCUCUUUUAUGAUUGUAUCAACUUUUGCUGAGGAGACGGAUUUAUGGUAAAAACGCGAUUCAACGCUUCCGUUGCGAAAUGCCAACAAUCGAUACCGGAUCCACAGCAGUCGGUAUCGGAGCGGGUUGCGGAUUCAUGAGAUCCGGUACCGGGGCGAGUACCGGAUUCCUAACAUUAACACC
rnacentral:lncRNA from 1 species